GACUACUGGGGUAUCUAAUCCUGUUUGCUCCCCACGCUUUCGCGUCUCAGCGUCAGAAUCGGCCCAGUGCCCCGCUUUCGCUUCCGGCGUUCCUCUCGAUAUCAACGCAUUUCACCGCUCCACCGAGAGUUCCAGGCACCUCUACCAACCUCAAGCGACGUAGUUUGCCGUGCAGUUCCACGGUUGAGCCGUGGGAUUUCACACGACACUUGCGCCGCCGCCUACACGCGCUUUAAGCCCAGUGAUUCCGAACAACGCUUGCCUCCUCUGUCUUACCGCGACUGCUGGCACAGAGUUAGUCGAGGCUUCCUCUGGGGCGGCUCAACGCCGGAUGCUGUUAACACCCUUUGCUUGCUAGCCCCUGACAGCAGUUUACAUCCCGAAGGACUUCCUCCUGCACGCGGCGUCGCUGGGUCAGGCUUGCGCCCAUUGCCCAAUAUUCGUUACUGCAGCCCCCCGUAGG
rnacentral:rRNA from 1 species